AACACACCUUAUUUCACACUGCUGCUGUUACUUGGUCUCUUCAGUUGUGUCCGACUCUGUGCGACCCCAUGGACUGUACCCCACCAGGCUCCUCCAUCUAUGCGAUUCUCCAGGGAAGAGUGCUGGAGUGGGUUGCCAUUCCCUUCUCCAGUGGAUCUUCCCAACCCAGGGAUCGAACCCGGGUCUCCUGCAUUGUAGGCAGAUUCUUUACCACUGAGCCACCAGGGAAGCCCUAUUUUACACUAAAUAGGUGCAAUUAUUCUUUAUGGCGUCUAAUCACUUUUAGCGAUUAAGAACGUUCUUUCUGCCUCACUUCGCACUAGGAGUUUUCCUUGCCAACCCACCGCAAGCUCCACAGCCUGUGGGUUGAGGCCCAGUCGUCCUCUUCCCUCCCCUGUAAGAAUGAGAAUUACAGGUCUCAGCUUCAGCAGAAGGGAAUAUAGUCGCUCCUCGAUUUAAUCCAUUCCUUCCUCCCUCAUUGUGCCUGCCUGUGACCAGCUUGGUUUGUCUGCACCAAGUAGGUUCCUGGGCAAGCUAAGCCAAGCCGUUCUAUUUCUGGAGCCCUCUGCCGAGAGCCGCUUCAAGCAAGAUCAUGGAAAUGUUCUGAUGACAGUCCCACACCGCUACAGUUGCCAGAUCUUCCCAGCGCCAGCGGCGCGCGGCGGCGGCGCGUUUACCUAAGCGCGGAGAAGUGUGAGGGUUGGUCCUGCCCCGGGUGGAUCGUCGCUUUGGCGCCGUCAGGCUUCAGGCAUUGAUUGUAUUUACUUGUUCUGAAGUGCCCAGGACUUAAGGUUGAUUUUCCUUCACCAGAUUUAAAAUACAUUCAUCUGUGGGCGAACAAGGAGGAAAAGAAGAAACAGAGGGCUGCCAGGCGAAGCGGGAACCAGAGGAGUACCCGGGCGCCCCUGGGCAGGAGCCAGGUGGGCGCCCUUUCGGGAAGAGAGCCCCGAGGGCCCAGUGGAGGUGAGGGCGUCGGAAGGCCCCGGGCGGCCUUGGCCGGGAAGGAGCAAGGGUCCCGUUACCCGCAGAGGAUAUCUAGGCCCAAGGCCCGCUUCUGCCGCGCCCGCCCUCCGGUCUGGGUCGGCUGGGCUCCCGGCUGCGCCAAGGUCGGGUCUGCUGGAGAGACUGGAAGUUGCGGUUCGCUGCCGCCCACCGCGUGCGCCCCCUGCAUCGCACAGCCUUGGGCCUGUUGUGACUUCUGGGCAUCGACACCUGGAACCCGUUAAAAGCGCCUCCUCCUCACGCCCGGCCUCGGUCUUUCCCCACCCUCAGGCUCUCCGGGCCCAGGCGAGCUUUGAAUGGUCGCGGGAGGAGGGGAGGCGAUGCGAGUGUUCCUGUUUGCGUUCGCUUGCGCCAGCUUCUCCAGCCCCUCAAGCACAAAUGGGGAAAAGUCAGCUAGGAUUAUUGACUAGAAACACUACGUUAGAAGCCGGGGCUGCCCCAGCAACUGGACAGGUGCCAGCUCUGAUCUCCAGGCUGGGACCUGCAGGCAUACUUGGAGACAUUAAACCAUGAAGCAAAGAACCAAAACCUUUCACCAAUUUUAUUUGAUCUAGAAACAAUUAAGUAAAAGUGCUGAAGUCCAUGUUAUAUGGGGAACAGGAAACUUCAAAAUAAGCAGAGAAAGCUGGGGGCUGGUUUCCAUGGUAGCAGCUUGCAGUAAAGCCUAAUUCCUUGUGACAAAGAGGUCAUCUUCCUUUUCAAAUGUGUUUAUGAUCCCUUUGUGCAUUGUAUUUUGGCAUAAAGGCUUCUAUGCCCUGUCAGGGCUCCGCAGGCAGCUCUAUGACUCUCAAGGGGGUUUAUUGCCUCCUUGGUAUAAGAAUAGCAGAAAGAAGCCAAACUAGUGCCAGUGUGACAAAAGAUAACCUCACGGGCUUGCUGUUGCUUUCUUUCUGUUAACACAUAAAUCUUGCUAUGCACUGAAAUAAUUAAAAAAUGAGAGAUUCUGGGAUAACUUUGAUUUUGUGUUUUUUCAACCUUUUACAUAAAUUGAAAC
ensembl:lncRNA